AGAGUUUGAUCCUGGCUCAGGACGAACGCUGGCGGCGUGCCUAACACAUGCAAGUCGAGCGAGGACAGAGAAGUAGCAAUACGACUUUGUUCUAGCGGCGGACGGGUGAGUAACGCGUGAGCAACCUGUCCCGAACAGGGGGAUAACGAGCCGAAAGGCUCACUAAUACCGCAUGAGACCACAACGUCACAUGACGAAGGGGUCAAAGGAGAAAUCCGGUUCGGGGUGGGCUCGCGUCUGAUUAGCUAGUUGGUGGGGUAACGGCCUACCAAGGCGACGAUCAGUAGCCGACCUGAGAGGGUGAUCGGCCACAUUGGAACUGAGAGACGGUCCAAACUCCUACGGGAGGCAGCAGUGGGGAAUAUUGGGCAAUGGGCGAAAGCCUGACCCAGCAACGCCGCGUGAAGGAAGAAGGUCUUCGGAUCGUAAACUUCUAUCCCCGGUGAAGAUAAUGACGGUAACCGGGAAGGAAGCCCCGGCUAACUACGUGCCAGCAGCCGCGGUAAUACGUAGGGGGCAAGCGUUGUCCGGAAUGAUUGGGCGUAAAGGGCGCGUAGGCGGCUCGGUAAGUCUGGAGUGAAAUUCCUGCUUUCAAGGUGGGAACUGCUUUGGAUACUGUCGGGCUUGAGUGCAGGAGAGGUAAGUGGAAUUCCCGGUGUAGCGGUGAAAUGCGUAGAGAUCGGGAGGAACACCAGUGGCGAAGGCGACUUACUGGACUGUAACUGACGCUGAGGCGCGAAAGUGUGGGGAGCAAACAGGAUUAGAUACCCUGGUAGUCCACACUGUAAACGAUGAAUGCUAGUGUAGGGGGUAUCGACCCCUUCUGUGCCGGAGUCACACAAUAGGCAUUCCGCCUGGGGAGUACGGCCGCAGUUUGAACUCAAGGAUUGACGG
rnacentral:rRNA from 1 species